AAAGCAAAAUAUAGCCAAGAACAACUUGCCGACACCGAAGAUAUUAAAGAGAACAACAACUAAUUGCUCCUUCCUAAGAUGGAGCAAUAAAUGCUUGAAUGAAAUAAAUGCCGGCAAGUCAUCCUUGGCUGCACUCCACUUUUU
rfam:Lupinus angustifolius cultivar Tanjil chromosome LG01, whole genome shotgun sequence.